rnacentral:rRNA from 1 species
AAGAACACUGAGCCUUCAUACAGCAUCCUGCCCCAUCCGAUCAAGGAAAUUAAGCUGAAGAGCGCUCGGUUAGUACCAUGGUGGGGACCACGUGCGAAUCCGAAUACCGUGGCUUCCAUUUUU